rnacentral:lncRNA from 1 species
AGGCCUGGUGUGGCACAGCCUGCAUGGUAGGAGAUGGCAAGGUCUCUGGGCCUCCAAGGGCUUCAUCCGGUGGAGGCAGAAGAACAGAGCAGGGCAAGGGGAGGGGCGUCGAUCCCCUUGUGGCCGGAAGCCAUUUUUGGUCUCCCUGAAGACUAGGAGAUGCUGGCCUGUUUCCUGGAGAGCGGCAGGCAGGGCGUGACGGGCAUACUGUUUCCCAUUGUGUGCUCUCAUGCCAUCAUCAUGAUGAUGUCCUUAUGCAGCCUGAGCAGGACGGUCUGUAGCCCAAGCCCCUUCCUCACACACAGGUCAGCACCUGAGGAGGCAUAGGGACCCCUGGCUCGCCUGGAAGCCUGCUCUGGAGUGGAGGCCGACUCCCACCUGGCCCUGGAGGAACUCACUGCCUCUCCCUCUCUCCCAAGGUUGUGGCCCGCUGUGCCCCAGUGGGCCUCUUCCUCCCCCACUACCCCCAAGUCUCAGGCUUCGAUUCCAUAUUCCAGUAACCCAGACAGAAUCCACACCUCCAACUCCUAAGCCCCUCAGAGCACGCCCCCACCACAGCACACACACACACACACACGCACGCACACGCACACACACACACACACACACACACACGGCUCCCUGUUCAAGGGACGGCAAAGCCUGGCAUGUUCCUGGGCCCACCAGGCCGAUGCCAGUGCUCUGUGACCAGGAAUAUUUCCUGAAGAGAGGAGAAAAAUGUCUCUGGUGGUCACUUUUAUGUUUGGGAGAGUUUUUAAUUUCCGUUUUGGUUCAAUUUAACAAACAUGGAGCAUGAAACAGGGCCUGGAACGAGCUGGUGACCUGGAGCAGGAAGCUGAGCACAGGAAACAUCUUCCUCAACUAGUCGACAGGAAGUGGUGGACGACCUGCCCUCCCUCAUCUAUGCACAGAGACCAAGCGGCGUGGGCCAGAAACUGAGGUUCAGAGAGGGAUAGGAGGUUGCUCAAAGACACACAGCAAGUCCAUCUCCACAUACCACCGGUGCUUGAGGGUGGCCAGCUCAGAGGGUUACUCUGGCCAGUGCAGCAGCUCUGGGAAGACUGGGGUAGGGGUGGGGAUUCUUCUAGGAUAGAGUUUAUGAAGCAGUUCCUUCUCUCUUGCUCCCUCCUGAGUGGGAGCGUCCCAGCCUUCAGUGACUAGUAUCAUCUCUGGCUUUGGGGGACAGUUUUGAAGGGGCCAUGAUCUGACUGGGUGGCAGGAUGUCACCAGUGUGGUUCUGGCUCCCUCAUGUGGUUCUCUUCAGCAUUGCAGCCAGUCUCAGGGGGAGGGGAAGGCAGCUCUUAAGUCACUUGGCCUGUUACACAGACAGAAACUGAAGCCCAGGCUCAUAUCCUAACUCCAUCCUUUCCAGCUAUGUGACGUGGGCAAUGUGCAAAAAGCUUCCAUUUCCUCCACCGUAAAAUGGCACGAGAAGUGACCUCACGGGUUAUUGCAAAGAUUACACACAGCCUUGGAUGAACGCCCUUUGCAUGCCUGAGUUUUCGUCAAACUUCAGACAACGUCAGCUACGAUGAGAACAAGGUGAGCUUUCAUAGGAAAGGCAGGGGUCAUUACAGCCACAGGAUUUCAAAGGAAAGAGGGUCUGGGGUUCCAGGAAGGCUGGGGCAUUUUAGGAGGUGAAAGAGGAGUCCACUUUACAAAUUAAAAAUACCCCAGCUCUAUUGAACAUCAUGAAGGAUCAGCGUUCAAGAUCCUUUUCCUCUCCAGACUGAAGUCCAGAGCGCCUCUCUCCAUUCCCCUACCGCUCAUCUUCUGCUGUCCCAUCUUUAUUUAUUUAAAUUAAUGCUAACAUACUAGACUAUUUAAACAAUAAGCAGGUGUUGUGUUUACUAUUUAAAUAAUUGUCACAUCUGUUUAUUUCAAUAUUAAACCUAUUUAUUGUCUUUAUUGUUUAAGCAUCAAAUCCAUGCAGUGUCUUUACUGUUUAAAUAUUAAACACAUAUCAUGUUC